rnacentral:rRNA from 1 species
CGGCGUUUAACUGGCGUGAUGUGGGACGUCCUACCGGUGGGCUUAGCCUCGCGAGGGGCGGCCCAACUAAUAUCCCGUCGCGGUGCUCUUUACUGAGUGUCGAGUCGGGCCGGUACGUUUACUUUGAACAAAUUAGAGUGCUUAAAGCAGGCUAUCCUCGCCUGAAUACUGCGUGCAUGGAAUAAUGGAAUAGGACCUCGGUUCUAUUUUGUUGGUUUUCGGAACCCCGAGGUAAUGAUUAAUAGGGACAGAUGGGGGCAUUCGUAUUGCGACGUUAGAGGUGAAAUUCUUGGAUCGUCGCAAGACGGACAGAAGCGAAAGCAUUUGCCAAAAAUGUUUUCAUUAAUCAAGAACGAAAGUUAGAGGUUCGAAGGCGAUCAGAUACCGCCCUAGUUCUAACCAUAAACGAUGCCAGCUAGCGAUCCGCCGAAGUUCCUCCGAUGACUCGGCGGGCAGCUUCCGGGAAACCAAAGCUUUUGGGUUCCGGGGGAAGUAUGGUUGCAAAGCUGAAACUUAAAGGAAUUGACGGAAGGGCACCACCAGGAGUGGAGCCUGCGGCUUAAUUUGACUCAACACGGGAAACCUCACCAGGCCCAGACACCGGAAGGAUUGACAGAUUGAUAGCUCUUUCUUGAUUCGGUGGGUGGUGGUGCAUGGCCGUUCUUAGUUGGUGGAGCGAUUUGUCUGGUUAAUUCCGAUAACGAACGAGACUCUAGCCUGCUAAAUAGGCGUACCUUAUGGUAUCGCGAAGGCCCCCGGCUUCGGCCGGUGGGUUUUUACUACCAACGUACAAACAAAUCUUCUUAGAGGGACAGGCGG